CUGCUCACCACUCUGGUUAUUUCAAAGAAAUACCCUUAUCAUGCUUUAUGCUUUCUCGACUGAGAGGACCUAGAAGCAUUAACAUGCCAGUAGCAUAAAGCACCUCAGCCACCCAGAUCUUGGUUCCUAAAUACCUUCUCCAACUAAAAAGAACCAGAGCUCCUUGGCAAAAUGGCAAAAUGGCUGAUUCCAGGAAUGGGACUGGGGAAGUUUAAGAGUCCCCAGGACUACCCCAUAAAGAGAAACAACUGGGCUGAGGAUACUGGAACAGCUAAGUCACCAUGUGAUCCUAGCAGCACCCUCCUCUGCCUUACCAGCUGGCUAUCCCACUCUAUGGUACUGCUGUCGGCUCAGUUCUGCUCCUGGACUACGCUAGAAGCACUGUGAGGACAGGACCCAUGAUUUCCCUUCUCUCAUACCAUGGAUGAGAACGGUUUUGAACACCAGAAUUCAGUUCCUGGUGACUGUCCCCUGACAAUACAUCUCAGCAGCACAGUUCCAUGACACAGAGCUUUGCUUUGCCAUGUGAUUCUUUAAUUCGAAUUGAUGCCAUGUAACCAAGGCUGAAACCAUGUAAGCUCCCGCCUGUAAACCUCAUGUUCUUACUUGGAAAACGACUAUUUCACACCCAAGGUAUCCAU